rnacentral:rRNA from 1 species
AGCAGUAGCCGCGGGAAAACGUAGGUGGCAAGCGUUGUCCGGAAUUAUUGGGCGUAAAGGGCUCGCAGGCGGUUUCUUAAGUCUGAUGUGAAAGCCCCCGGCUCAACCGGGGAGGGUCAUUGGAAACUGGGAAACUUGAGUGCAGAAGAGGAGAGUGGAAUUCCACGUGUAGCGGUGAAAUGCGUAGAGAUGUGGAGGAACACCAGUGGCGAAGGCGACUCUCUGGUCUGUAACUGACGCUGAGGAGCGAAAGCGUGGGGAGCAAAUGGGAUUAGAUACCCCAGUAGUCCCUGUCUCUUAUAC